ACUUUCUACAAGUAAAUAUAUCUAAAUAUUCAAUAAAAUAUAUCAUAAAACUGACUAGAUUCAAUUUUAAUUAACUUUCAAAGGUACUUAAAUAAAUAAAUAAAACUAGAGUUGCUUAUUACAUAUUUUGUUCCCACAUCGUUAGUGAACAAUGACUUUUGUUAAUACAAAUAGUAAUGACAUAACACAUCUAAAUGCCGAGCCUUGUAACGUGGGCUUGUAACCUAAGUUGGGGCAACAAUGUAGUGGGAUGUUAGGCUGUUCCAGAUGGCUGGACUUUGGUUGGCAUUAGUCUGGCUUGCCCUAUCCAAGCACGGAGUUGAGUCACGUGGUCCAAACGAAAGUAUGGGCUGCUUGGCUCUUAGAGUGGGGUGGACUGCGUGAGGCUGGUUUCACAGAGCAACGAAUAACUCCCAGUCUGUGCAGUGGAAGGAUAACGAGUCAGUGCUUUCCAAGUUCAACAAAAACCUGAUGGACUACCUAAUUAAACCACCACUUUUUUCUUUUCUAUAAUUGGUGCUUGGUCCAAGUUUACCUAAAUGUGAGAUAAAAGUGUAUGAAAUAGUCUCCUGUUGAAGUUCUUUGAAUAUGAGAGGCUUCUCUCACUAUGGAUUCAUGUUAAAACUUGUGUUAGUAGUAGUAAAACCAUGUUUAUUUGCUAAUAUUUAAUGUUAU